GCUCACCUCCACGUUUUUCGCUCAGUGAACAGUGUGUGACAUUCCCACCGCAGCCGCCGAGACGCUUGGUCCUACCUGUACAGGUGUGAAUACAGACAGAGGAAUCUGUGCAUUUAGUUCCUUGCCCAAUCAAGUUACAGGAACUAAUGUGGAGGAACAGUUAUGGAAGACCCGCUGAAACAGAUCCCUAACUACAGGAGGGCCUGAGAACCUUCUUCCUACACCGGACCCACCCAGGGGUGACUGUCAACCGAGGGAGGACUGGGUGGCUCGAUUUUAUCCGGGUAGCCCUGGAGUUUCUUCCCUUGUGGGUCGUCGAGGAAUCGAACAUCCUGUCAACGUUUCCACUGAUGUCCAGACCAAAGAGUGUGGAAGUGUCUACCAGCAUUUGUGUUUCCAUGGAAAUAUGUGCAGUGGCUUGUUCGUGUAGUUGCUAGUGUGACAGCGCACCUGCCUGGCAGUGAAAGGGUGGGAGAAGAGCAUUCCUGGCGCUGAGGUUCGUGAGAGUAUCCUACAUCGGGACUGCAGAUGUCGGGAAUGCAUGGACCGCCACUAGUGUGUGAUGUGAUCUCAUGUAAGAAAGAAGGCGAAAUGAUAGGAUUAGAAGUAGCUUGUUGUAAACA